GAUACCUGUGGUAAUUCUAGAGCUAAUACAUGCUAAAAACCUCGACUUCGGAAGGGGUGUAUUUAUUAGAUAAAAAACCAAUGCCCUUCGGGGCUCCUUGGUGAUUCAUAAUGACUUAACGAAUCGCAUGGCCUUGCGCCGGCGAUGGUUCAUUCAAAUUUCUGCCCUAUCAACUUUCGAUGGUUGUGUAGUGGUGAGUUGCGGCCCUGAACAUAACCUCGAAGAUUGGUGCUAACAGCAACCCAGGACAACCAUGGUUUCUACGGGUGAAACUCGUUGCCCGUGGGGCUCAUACCAUACCGAGAGGGCCCUCCCUCUCGGUUACAUCGCUGGCUUAGAGGAUGUCUCGUUGGGGUUCUCCCGGCGGGCUGAUUCUAAGGCGAGGCCCGUGACCUUCGGGGUCGAGGCCCGCCCAAACGCAUGCGAAGCGAUGGGCCCCGGUUCGCCGGGGCUUAGGAUACAUGCUCGUCCAUCCGCUUGCAAGUGGAUUGGACCUCACGAACGGGGAAUUAGGGUUCGAUUCCGGAGAGGGAGCCUGAGAAACGUAAGUCUUUGGCCUUGAGGUCCCCUCAGUAAGUAGAUGCGAUGCUAACAUGAUCAUUCAGGGCUACCACAUCCAAGGAAGGCAGCAGGCGCGCAAAUUACCCAAUCCCAACACGGGGAGGUAGUGACAAUAAAUACUGUAAGGAUCCAAUGUCUUAGCUUUACUUCGUGCGACGGCCGCUAACUGUCAAUUAGGAUCCAGGGCUCUUUCGGGUCUUGGAAUUGGAAUGAGUACAAUUUAAAUCCCUUACCUAGUUAGGGGGUUUGAGCUUGGUCAUCGUACCGCGAUGGCAACACCUUCUCUAUCCGAAGAGGGCUUCCUCGGUCGAGGUUGGCCCAAUCCGGAGCUCGUCCAUUCGAGUGCAGAGACUACAUUAAGGUGGAUGGAUCACUCCAUUUAUGAUAUAGCCCAAAUCUCCGGCGUGGGCCGGAGUUCGAUUUGUAACGAGGAACAAUUGGAGGGCAAGUCUGGUGCCAGCAGCCGCGGUAAUUCCAGCUCCAAUAGCGUAUAUUAAAGUUGUUGCAGUUAAAAAGCUCGUAGUUGAAACUUGGGCCUGGCUGUCCGGUCCGCCUCACCGCGUGCACUGGUUCGGCCGGGCCUUUCCUUCUGGGGAGCCGCAUGGCCUUCAUUGGUCGUGCUGGGGAUCCAGGACUUUUACUUUGAAAAAAUUAGAGUGUUCAAAGCAGGCCUAUGCUCGAAUACAUUAGCAUGGAAUAAUAGAAUAGGACGUGUGGUUCUAUUUUGUUGGUUUCUAGGACCGCCGUAAUGAUUAAUAGGGAUAGUCGGGGACGUCUGUAGUAAGUGAUACCGCGCUUCAGUGCCCCGAAAGCAACGCUAACUUGUGAUUUAGUUCCACUGUCAGAGGUGAAAUCCUUGGAUUUGUGGAAGACAAACUACUGCGAAAGCAUUCGUCAAGGAUGUUUUCAUUAAUCAGUGAACGAAAGUUAGGGGAUCGAAGACGAUCGUCCGGCCAUCUGGUCGUCUACAGUGUUCUAGUUCGGGGUGGUACGCCGCCCCGGGCCACACCGCCAAACUGUUGGGGCUCCCAUUGCGGGGAACCCACAGCCAAGCCCUUCGGGGCGCAGUCUACAGACUGGAUGUCGGUGGGCGGGCUCCGAGGGGCCCGUUUCUAAUAUAGUCGAAUCUCUCGGGCCAUCGUUCCCGGGAGUCGCCAUGCAGAUACCGUCGUAGUCUUAACCAUAAACUAUGCCGACUGGGGAUCGGACGGUGUUAUUAUUUUGACCCGUUCGGCACCCUACGAGAAAUCAAAGUCUUUGGGUUCUGGGGGGAGUAUGGUCGCAAGGCUGAAACUUAAAGACAUUGACGGAAGGGCACCACCAGGCGUGGAGCCUGCGGCUUAAUUUGACUCAACACGGGGAAACUCACCGGGUCCGGACACAAUAAGGAUUGACAGAUUGAGAGCUCUUUCUUGAUCUUGUGGUUGGUGGUGCAUGGCCGUUCUUAGUUGGUGG
rnacentral:rRNA from 1 species